rnacentral:lncRNA from 1 species
CUCUGCUGGAGCUAACGACAUUUCCAAUUCCAUUUUCUCCUGCUCCAAACUUUUAAGUGCUUCAGUAAACCAAGAGACUGUCUUUGGGAGAUGAUGUGCGACUUCAGCAAAGGAGGAUGCUGUGGUAAGCUGGUGUCGGGUUGAAAAGGUACUACGCAUAUAAUCGAUACCAACUGUCCCACCAAUGAGGGGAGCGAUUGCUUGUAACCGAGAAGCACUAAUGUCUUGCUUGAGCACCUGCAUUUUCUCCACAUAUAAUGUCAAUUUUGUAAGCGAAAAUUCUUUCAAAACAUAAACAUAACGAGAGACAAAAGUUCAAGAGGUAAGGACAUGGAAACUACAUAAAGUGAGAACAGAAGUGGACACUACCUGCAGUUGCUCAAAAAUAAACCGAAGACCUUUCACAAGAGUUGUAAAAAAUGCAAUUUGUGCAGGCUUGCUGCCCGAAGGUACUGUUGCCGAUAACUCCUUGACCAAGGACCCAUGCGCAGCUUUUGCAGGGCUGUCGCGAGCUGGAGAACCUAGUUUCAGAAUUAACCCAGAUGCGUAGUCUAAUAAUCGGCGCAAAUAGUCUACAUCAUUACUUCCAGACUCCAAAAUCUGCACCGAAUACAAUCAGUAUUGAGAAUCAAACAAAAAAGCAAAUUGGAGAAAAUAGAGGCAUUUCAAGCAUCGACAACGUGGGAAAUGGGUGAGUAAGAUCUAACCUGAGUUAUCAGUUCCAAAUCCAUAGAUUCCCGAAGCUCAUCUUUCCAACUCUCAGGAACAAGAGCUACAAGUUCCUGCCGCACCUCUCCAACUAAAUCAACAACACGCUUGUAAUCUGUAGGCUCUUGAGCCAACCCACUAGCAAUAUUAUCCCAAAACGCAUUCUCCAUUAUAGACCGCACCUGAUCUUGAAGAUCAUUGAUCUUUUUUGCGGAUGGGUUAACAGAAGAGACUAAAUGAGGACUUUCCUGCAGGUGCCAUUUCGAAUCAUGGAGCAUCUCGUUGACAAUUUGCUCGUUUGUAAGCUCGGCUCCAACAUGAUUUGGCACGGAGCUCUGGGAGUUUUGAGCGUCUAGUUUUGCCAGGUUCUCAGAAGC